AUGAUUACCCGUAAACUGAAACCAAACGGGAGGAGGGGGUUUGUGGGAGUCCGGACACGAGAAAACAUCAUUCUUUGCCCUCUAGCCCAUCCAAAAAGAAGGUGGAGCCCGCACUUUUGUUGCAACCCGCACUGUUUCCGCGUGAAAAUCCCUCACUCUCAUCUUUCGUCACCGUCGCUCUCUACCCAAUUCCUGCCCCUUUCUCUCACCCUCUUCUUCCUUCCACCGCCGACACAUGGAACCGUCAUAGAAGCUGUCGGAGAUGGAGGUGUUUGUGGUGUCGAAGGAUCCGAGCACCACGCUCGCCCGGAAGAUCAGCUCGGCUACGCGGCAAACUCGUCGCGUCAAAGUGAAGUCCACAAAAGGAGGAGAAGCCCAAGAAGUCGAUGGUCGUCGGUGGGCUUGGUUGUGGCAUUGGGCGUGGAGGUCGUGGCGGACGCCGCCAGACGGGCGCGCCCACCGAGAAAUCUUCAGCGUCGUGCAUUGUUGCUUGAAGUUGAAUGGGUAACCGAAGUGAAACCUUUUCAUAGCCAAGACCGCUGCCCAAGCCAACGAGGAAGAGACCAGUGA
rnacentral:rRNA from 1 species